AACGAUAAUACUACAGUGUAGCUUGUGGACAGUACUCUCACCGAGUAUUGUYGAACACUGUUUGUCGAACGGUACUUGCUCUGUACUACGCAUUGUAUACGUGUUCAGCAAUUCCCGUUUAAGUGAAGAACACAYGUGCAACAUGUGCACGCUGUUAUUCACUACGUUAGUURGCUAGUUUACUAACGUAUGAUAGCGGUGCAUACUGUAUGACAUGAACAUAUCGUUGUUCACUGUUUAAUUCGCUCUCGCGACUUAUGAGCGUGGUUGAACGGAGACAAUGUGAAGGACAACGAUGUUCGCCAUGUGGAUGUGUCAUUUGCAA
rnacentral:rRNA from 1 species